rnacentral:rRNA from 1 species
GAGCGGACUGAUGAGGUGUUUGCACCUCUGUAUGGUUAGCGCGCGCGACGGGUGAGUAACACGUAUGCAAACUGCCUGCAGGACCGGGAUACAUACGGAAACGAAUGCUAAUACCGGAUACACGAUUUCCUCGCAUGGGGAGAUCGGGAAAGACGGAACAGUCUGUCACCUGCUGAUGGGCCUGCGGCGCAUUAGCUACUUGGUGGGGUAACGGCCUACCAAGGCGACGAUGCGUAGCCGACCUGAGAGGGUGAUCGGCCACACUGGGACUGAGACACGGGCCACACUCCUACGGGAGGCAGCAGUAGGGAAUCUUCCGCAAUGGACGAAAGUCUGACGGAGCAACGCCGCGUGAGUGAUGAACGCUUUCGGGUCGUAAAGCUCUGUUGCCAAGGAAGAACGCUUGAGAGAGUAACUGCUCUCAAGGUGACGGUACCUGACAAGAAAGCCCCGGCUAACUACGUGCCAGCAGCCGCGGUAUU